UGGGGAAUAUUGCGCGAUGGGGGGAACCCUGACGCAGCCAUGCCGCGUGAAUGAAGAAGGCCUUAGGGUUGUAAAGUUCUUUCGGUAUUGAGGAAGGUUGAUGUGUUAAUAGCACAUCAAAUUGACGUUAAAUACAGAAGAAGCACCGGCUAACUCCGUGCCAGCAGCCGCGGUAAUACGGAGGGUGCGAGCGUUAAUCGGAAUAACUGGGCGUAAAGGGCACGCAGGCGGUUAUUUAAGUGAGGUGUGAAAGCCCCGGGCUUAACCUGGGAAUUGCAUUUCAGACUGGGUAACUAGAGUACUUUAGGGAGGGGUAGAAUUCCACGUGUAGCGGUGAAAUGCGUAGAGAUGUGGAGGAAUACCGAAGGCGAAGGCAGCCCCUUGGGAAUGUACUGACGCUCAUGUGCGAAAGCGUGGGGAGCAAACAGGAUUAGAUACCCUGGUAGUCCACGCUGUAAACGCUGUCGAUUUGGGGGUUGGGGUUUAACUCUGGCGCCCGUAGCUNACGUGAUAAAUCGACCGCCUGGGGAGUACGGCCGCAAGGUUA
rnacentral:rRNA from 1 species